GGCUAAUACAACACUCUUCACAUCUGUUAUCAUGUUUAUCAAUAUGUUUAUUUUGACGAAACAAGAUUUACAUUCCUUAAAAACAAAAUGGAUGACUCAUUUAGAUUGUUUCGGAGUAAAGGAAUUGACAGAUUUGACAAAAGUCCAAUUGACAAGAAUAACCAACAACCAACCUAAAACAUGUUCAAGACAUUGUAUGAAAUGGAAUUUCUUUGCUGUGCUGGACCACAAAUGUUUCUGUUUCGAUGAAGGCAUGUUUAAGAACUUAAGGGAAAAUAUGUUGAACAGAUGUCAUAGAAUGUGUCCAGACUAUACAGAUAACAUGUACUGUGGAUCUAGUGAUAUGCAAUAUGCCAAUGUAUACAAGCGAGAA